ACGCUCGACACCUACGGGAGGUAGCAGUGGGGAAUAUUGCACAAUGGGGGAAACCCGUGAUGCAGCGACGCCGCGUGAGCGAAGAAGUAUUUCGGUAUGUAAAGCUCUAUCAGCAGGGAAGAAACUGACGGUACCUGACUAAGAAGCACCGGCUAAAUACGUGCCAGCAGCCGGGUAAUCUGAGCGGGCUGGCAAGGC
rnacentral:rRNA from 1 species